rnacentral:rRNA from 1 species
GAUGAACGCUGGCGGCGUGCCUAAUACAUGCAAGUCGAGCGAACAGACGAGGAGCUUGCUCCUCUGACGUUAGCGGCGGACGGGUGAGUAACACGUGGAUAACCUACCUAUAAGACUGGGAUAACUUCGGGAAACCGGAGCUAAUACCGGAUAAUAUAUUGAACCGCAUGGUUCAAUAGUGAAAGACGGUUUUGCUGUCACUUAUAGAUGGAUCCGCGCCGCAUUAGCUAGUUGGUAAGGUAACGGCUUACCAAGGCAACGAUGCGUAGCCGACCUGAGAGGGUGAUCGGCCACACUGGAACUGAGACACGGUCCAGACUCCUACGGGAGGCAGCAGUAGGGAAUCUUCCGCAAUGGGCGAAAGCCUGACGGAGCAACGCCGCGUGAGUGAUGAAGGUCUUCGGAUCGUAAAACUCUGUUAUUAGGGAAGAACAAAUGUGUAAGUAACUAUGCACGUCUUGACGGCACCUAAUCAGAAGGCCACGGCUAACUACG